ACAGAAACACCUCGCUUGGUUGCCUCCUGGAUGUGCCCUUGACCAGAAUUGAACCCGGGACCCUUUGGUCCACAGGCUGACACUCUAUCCACUGGGCCAAACUGGCUAGGGCAGUACUUCUAACUUUUAAUGAGAGAAUGUCACAAGUUAUACUUACUGUAACUACAGUACAAGCACAAGGUCUGGGGCCCAGUCCAGUGUCUGACACUUGGUAAAUAACUGAGGAAAUGAACUGAAAGGAUGAAAGAAAUGGAUGGAAAUGCAGCAGUGGCAUUUUCUUUGUUACAGUGUUCAGAGAGAGGAUAAAAAUGAGCUUUCAUUUCAUGGGGUUGUUUUUAGGGUUCUCCCAUGGUUGUUGGCUUCUCAACAGCUUCUUUCAAGCUGUUGCUUGUUUCCAGGCUCAGUGGGAGGAUUAAAGUGGAAGAGAAGAGGCUGAGGCUGAGAAAUUUAGGGGAAGAGAUGAUUGUACACUCCAAUAUCCCCAGUACAUUGGUUUGGUGGAGAAUACUUACAGCCAGGAGCCUUGGCUCAGUGGUCGGCAAACUCAUUGUCAACAGAGC